UGCUUUGACAGCUCGUGUGAUGUCUGAACUAAUUCAUCCCCAUCAGGUGUUCCCCAUCUGCCAAGGGCCCAGCAUGGUUAGCUGAGCUCCACUCCUGGACCUGACAUCUACAAAACAAGACACCUUCCUCCAGUUCUUUAUACAUUAGCCAUGGUCUUGGCUGGGAGAACAAAGAGGACAUCCUUCUCUCCAACCCCAGCUCCUCAAACACAUCCAAACAACAGCUCUGACCACAAUCGACCACCCGGGAGCAGGAGAGAAAUGGAGCCACAUUAACUGCCAGGCUCUGCUGUCCCUUCAUUUUCCCUCCUCUUCCCUUCAGAGCAGUUUGUGUAGAUUGUAUUUUAAACCUGCUUCUUGGAGAAAUCCUCUUGAUAUUUUCUUUGCAGCAUCAGCUGCUGGAUUAUUUAGGGCCACCUAAAAGAAUUGCAGCAAAGGCAAAAAAUGACCCUUCCCAGCAUGAGUUUGGCCUUGUGGUCUGUAAGAGGAGCUGGGUGAUGUCUGAUAUCUCUCAGGUACUUUGAGAGGUCUGUAUGACCCAGAGUGUGUUUGUUUUUACAAAUAUUUUGUCUAAUAGGGAACCCCUCUCAUCCUAAUGAGCUAUGCCCUCAAGUCUUCCUGCCACCCUGACUACAAAAAUCCUGGACACGAUGAUGUGGAUGAUCUGCAAAAUGUUCUGCUUGUCAUGCAGGACAAUAAAUCUGGAGCUUGUGUUCUCCCCAUCUGGUCACUGGCACCUUCCCACCCUCCUUGGGCAAGAGUUAUCUCCUGCUUUCCUGCUCCCUGAGGCACAACCUCAAUAUAAAUGAGAAGGAAAUGUGUUGUGGCCUCUCACACAUCUUAAAUAUCUGAUUAAAAACUAGAGAUUAUGAAUUGAGAAGCAAAUCACAGCAUUUCUGCAGUACCAGCUGAGGCAAAAUGAGAUUCAGGAAAUUUUCAAUCAAUCUUGAAAAAAACCCCAGGAAUCCUGACUCCUGAGGAAUACUAAGCAAAGGACAAACCAGCAGUUUGUGUUUGAUGUGGGCGAGCAGCCACAGCUCAGGGCUCUGGAUGCCCCCUGGAGCCACCUGUGUCCCAUCUGCUGCUGGCACUGCACAUUUCAGAGCAGUGGAACUCUGUGGGACUGAGGACAGACGCAACCAAGAGCACUCUGAAUGCAGAGAUGGGAACUGCUCUGCCCAGUUAAUUCAGGAUUGACUCCUGAGCUGUCACAAAGGACAGUUUUCAAGCCCAGAAUGCUUCCAUCAUCCAUUCCAAGGGCUUUGCCCAUGCCACUGGAAUUAGUCAUAAAAACAAGAGGAAUUUUAGAUUAUCUUAAAUCCUAUGAGAGGUCCUGUGAUCACCUCAGACUCUUUCAAAGAACUGCAAUUAAAACAAUUCAUGGAUACUUUUUGCCCCGUGCAGCCCCUGAGAUCCUGCAUUAAAUAUCACUCAGCUGAACUCUUCAGUCCAGCUCAGUUGUCACCUUUGGCCCUUAGAUGAUGUUCCUGUUUUGGGGAAGCUGUAGGGUCUCUGGUUCACAGAUCCUACUGCACACCAUCUUGAAAUAAAACAACUUGGAUGCAUUUUAACCUCCACCCAUUCUACCUUGGCUGGAAAGCAGCACUGCCAGGGCUUUGCCAGGGCUGUUUUGGAAGGAAUUUUAAUUAAUUGCUUUGUGUACAAUUUAGAAUUUAGCAAAGGCUCAUAUUUCAAAGCCAUCAGCAUGACAGUGCCACAAAGGGGAAGGAGAAAUAAUCCACUGAAGCCAACAUCCAUAAAAUGUGAAGGAGCUCUGGUAAAUUCUGAAUGAUAAGCAUAAAAGGAGACCCAUGAGAGACUAAACCUUCUGUUGUACAGUUACUGUUUUGAGGUAAAUUAGCAUGAUUAUUACAUUAUAAACUACUUUUGUUUCAGAAGUUUUGUCCUCUUAGCCAUGGAAAAUCUCUCCAGGUCUAUCCUUGUUCAGGAUCUCAGAGAGAGAACAGAACUUUCCAAACUAAACAAUGAGUUUGGCUCUUUUUCAAAGCAGAGUAAAAAUUCAGGGAGGUGGUCUUAUUCCAGUAUCAGUGGAAUAAACUUUGGUCAAUGAAAUAUUGAAUAUAUUGAGCAAAUCUCAUCAAUUAAAUGGAAAACUAAGUCAGCUGGCAGAGAUACAGCUGGUAGAAAAUGACUGCUGAAAACAUGCAAUAAUUAAAGAGAAGUGAAAAACAGAUUAUGUGAUGAGGUGCCUGCUAAAACAGGAUAUGGAACCCAGCAAUCAAGAGGUGCCUUCCAGUUUCUGGGUCCUACAGACGUUGCUGAUUUAUGAUUCUUAGGAAUUACCUGGCUGAUGAUGAGACAAGCAAAGAAAUGCUGCCUGAACAUACCAUUGCUAUUGCUAUUCCAUCAGAAGCAAAGGAGCAAGAGCUCAGGGGAGAGCCAGGAAUGUGGGAAUGGCACCAAGUUGGGACUUGGGAGAGCUGAGAUCAUCCCUCACUUCUGCCAUUUCAGCCCAGUCAAUUCUCACCCUGAUUUCUAAGAAGUCUAAACAAAGUACAAAUAACUAAACUUCCUAAUUCUAUGUUUCCAACUGCUCUAGAAAGAUUCUUCAGUUUACCCUGAAUAAAAAGGCUUCCUCUGCUCUCAAUUUUUCUGCAUAAACUCUAUGCUCUUCAUGCUAGAAUGUCUUAAUUCUUUUAAUAUACCACCUGCAUUAGAGGUAGCCCCAAGUGUGUUAAAUAAGAGGAGCCAAGUGCCUACAGCUCUUAUUAAGGUUUAAUCACAGCCACCCUCUAAAUAGGUCACAGGUGGGGACAAGAUUGGUGGUGAAAAGGACAAGAGAGAACUUGGGAAAUGGUACAACCUGGCAGGAGCAGAGCUGCUCUGGCACCACCACCGUGGUGUUUAGGGUAGUACUUACUCUUCAGGCCAAUUAUUUGUAGAAUAAAUUCAAACCUCUAGGAUUUGCAACAUCUCUCCCCAACAGGUAUCCCAAGCACGAUGAAGAAUUCACAUUUACAGGAGCAAAGCCCAAGGAAAUGGCAUCUGCUGAGCCCUGUGAUAUCCCAGCUUGCCUUGGCUCGUGUCAGAGCCUUGCAGCUAUUUAAGCUGUUGUUUAAAUGAGAAGCAUCCAAUGUGGCAUUAUGUAAUAAUUAUAUAUAGGCAGCCAGCCUCAGGAAGAGACCACACUAAAAACAGGAAUCCAAAGCUCUUAACUCAUUUUUGGUACCACCAGAUUUAAUAAAA